rnacentral:misc_RNA from 1 species
CGCAAAUAGGCCUCAUCAGGACCAAAGGAGUCCAGGUACGUCAUAUAGCGAUUAUACGCAGAUUUCAUGGCACCUUCCAGAUCUUCAGGUAAACGUCCUACAUUCUCACCAGUUAAACCAGACAGAUCGUCUAGUGCCAUUCUGAGGGAAACCAAAACUCCACCAAAUUCGACGGAAGCUACAGCCGCGCGAAAGACAUUUGCCAAAGCCUCCUGGCCGCGCUUAUCAUCCGUAGCUUUAGAUAAAGCCUUCUUCGUCUCUUGAACAACAGAUUCGGGAAUUUCAUCCCAACUUGCAGCCAAUAAAUCCUUGAAUGCAGUUUCUACGUCAGGAUCAGUUAUGGUGGGCAAAUGGCUUAUGUCUGCACUGAACAGACGCCUAAAACUAAGUGUUGAAGGAAUUCUGUAAUCUUGAACCCGAGGGGGCAACGGAGCCGCGGGGGCGAGAGGGAAGCUCUGGGCGAAGAAGGCGCCAUGGCGAGGGAUAGUGGAGAUGGACCUCGAGAGGAGGAGGAUCCGGCGACCGCUGGAGGAGGCCAGAGAUCGGAGCGCCGCCGCAGCCAUGGAUCAGCUUGAGAUCGGAGAGGUGAGAGGGUUG